rnacentral:pre_miRNA from 7 species
AUUAUUGCAGUCAAAAUUGUUUAUAUCUGUUUGAAGCUGCAAGUGAAAGACCCUAGUGGGGAGACCCCCACUCAAGUCCCUAGACAGCGCACACCCAAGGAAUCAUAAGAGACC